AACGAACGCUGGCGGCAUGCCUAACACAUGCAAGUCGAACGAUACCUUCGGGUCUUGUGGCGCACGGGUGCGUAACGCGUGGGAACCUGCCCUUAGGUUCGGAAUAACUCCCCGAAAGGUGUGCUAAUACCGGAUAAUGUCUUCGGACCAAAGAUUUAUCGCCUUUGGAUGGGCCCGCGUUGGAUUAGCUAGUUGGUAGGGUAAAAGCCUACCAAGGCGAAGAUCCAUAGAUGGUCUGAGAGGAUGAUCAGCCACACUGGGACUGAGACACGGCCCAGACUCCGACGGGAGGCAGCAGUGGGGAAUAUUGGACAAUGGGCGAAAGCCUGAUACAGCAAUGACGCGUGAGUGAUGAAGGCCUUAGGGUUGUAAAGCUCUUUUACCCGGGAUGAUAAUGACAGUACCGGGAGAAUAAGCUCCGGCUAACUACGUG
rnacentral:rRNA from 1 species